UACAGAGGUCUCGAGCGUUAGGCGGAAUCACUGGGCGUAAAGCGUGCGCAGGCGGCUUCUCAAGUCAGGGGUGAAAGCCCAGAGCUCAACUCUGGAAUUGCCUUUGAGACUGAGUGGCUUGAGUACGAGAGAGGUGAGUGGAAUUCCCAGUGUAGAGGUGAAAUUCGUAGAUAUUCGGAAGAACACCAGUGGCGAAGGCGACUUACUGGACACAUAUUGACGCUGAGGUGCGAAAGCGUGGGGAGCAAACAGG
rnacentral:rRNA from 1 species